rnacentral:rRNA from 1 species
UACAGAGGUCUCAACCGUUGUUCGGAUUCAUUGGGCGUAAAGGGUGCGUAGGCGGCGGGGUAAGUCAGGUGUGAAAUCUCGGGGCUCAACCCCGAAACUGCACUUGAUACUGCCUCGCUUGAGUACUGGAGAGGAGACUGGAAUUUACGGUGUAGCAGUGAAAUGCGUAGAUAUGCGGAGGAACACCGAUGGCGAAGGCAGCCCCCUGGGCCGACAUUGACGCUCAGGCACGAAAGCGUGGGGAGCAAACAGG